GAGCUGGCCAGCUGGGCCUGGGGAAGAGAGUUUUGCUCAGUGUCUCACUGAUGAACAGGUACUGACUGAAGUUGGUCUGAAGAUGUAAGUGGGACUCGUACUUGGAUCCUAGGGUCUCUAAGAGGGACAAAGGCUGCUUUGGCCAAUGCAGACACCUGUCCAAUGGGCAAUCCCUACACCUGAACUCCAAGUUUCUCUUCACAUUGUAACUUGCUGCCACAGGCUUCAGAGACAACAGGAAACCUAGCAUUCUCUUAGCCAACCUGACCACAAAGCUGUCAGA